rnacentral:tRNA from 1 species
CCGCGCCCUGGUGCAGGCGAUGGAGGACGCGGGCUGGGACCCCGCAGCGGUCCCCGCGGUCGCCGCGGACCACUCCGCGGAGGUGGC